UAUAUAAAUUUUUCAUAAACAUUUUGUGAUUUCUAUUUCCAAACCUAGAGCUCAAAUCAUUGGUAGUUACUUGACCUCUGAAAAUAUGUUUAAUGUAGUGAUGGAUAUUGGAUUGGUUCUGAGAAAAUUAUGAGUCAAAUAUAAAUUUACAUUUUAAAAACAAGUACAUUUUUAUACAUCCCCCCCCCCCCGGCCGGCCCCAAUGCCUGAAUAACUAUCAUUGCCUCAGUUCAACUAUUUCAACAAAUCUAGUAUAUGCCAGUCUAGUAUUUCGUUUUCUUUACAAAACUAGUAGUGUUACUUAAGCACGUCUUUUGAUUCCUGCUGAUUAGCAAAGGUUGGUACAAAAACAUCCAAUUUUCAGACCUUGAGGAUUGCAGCAUCAAAGUAUAAUUUCAUGACCACAUGCAGUAUUCCACCAAUGCAUCAGAUUCCUCAAAUUUGCCACUGACAAUACCUCUCCCUUUUAAGAGAGCACUUCUUGGUCUAAAAAAUAUAAUGCAGUUUAAUUACUAUGAUCUAAAAACUACAUAUUAAUUUAAUGAAGCAGACCGGCCAUGUAUUCUGUAUGAGAAAAAUGUAGAAUCGAGAGAUAAUGUCUAUUCUUGUGCAAAUAUUCCUAUGUUGACC